AGAAACUUAGGUUAAAUAUAAACCAAGAGCCUUCAAAGCCCUAAACAGAGGAAAAUCGCACCCCUAGUUUCUG
rnacentral:tRNA from 1 species